rnacentral:rRNA from 1 species
GAAAGUAAGUAAGGGCGUAUGGGGGAUGCCUAGGCUCUUGGAGGCUAAGAAGGACGUGGUAAGCUGCGAAAAGCUGCGGGGAUUUGCAAACGAGACUCGAUCCGCAGAUAUCCGAAUGGGACAACCCGGCAGGUAGAAGACCUGUUACACCGCGAGGUGAGCUAACCCUCUGAACUGAAACAUCUAAGUAGGAGGAGGAAAAGAAAGAAACAUCGAUUUCCAAAGUAGCGGCGAGCGAAAUGGAAGAAGCCCAAACCGAUAUUGUUACGGCAAUAUCGGGGUUGUAGGACUGCAAUAUUCAAUUAACAAUGAACUGGAAUGGUCUGGAAAGUCCAUCCAUAGAGAGUGAAAGGCUCGUACAGGUAAGUUUGUUAUGCGAUAGCAGUAUCCUGAGUAUGGCGGGACACGAGGAAUCCUGUCAGAAUCAGCCGGGACCACCCGGUAAGGCUAAAUACUCCCAAGAGACCGAUAGUGGACCAGUACUGUGAAGGAAAGGUGAAAAGAACCCCGAACAGGGGAGUGAAAUAGAACCUGAAACCAUACGCUUACAACCGGUCGGAGCAGCUUCGUGCUGUGACGGCGUGCCUAUUGAAUAAUGAGCCUACGAGUUACUAAUCACUAGCGAGGUUAAGUGCAAGGAUGCACGGAGCCGAAGCGAAAGCGAGUCUGAACAGGGCGUUUAGUUAGUGGUUGUAGACGCGAAACCUUGCGAUCUACCCUUGAGCAGGUUGAAGGUUGGGUAAAACCAACUGGAGGACCGAACGAAUAAGCGUUGAAAAGCUUCUCGAUGACUUGAGGGUAGGGGUGAAAGGCUAAUCAAGCUGGGAAAUAGCUCGUACUCCCCGAAAUGCCUUUUGGGGCAGCGUUGUAAUAAAGAGUCUACUGGAGGUAGAGCUACUGAUUGGAUGCGGGGGCUUCACCGCCUACCAAAUCCUGACAAACUCCGAAUGCCAGUAGUAUGAUUUACAGCAGUGAGUGACUGGGUGCUAAUGUCCAGUCGCAAAAGAGGAACAACUCAGACCAGCAACUAAGGUCCCGAAGAAUAUGCUAAGUUGAUCUAACGAUGUUUUGUUGCAGAGACAGCUAGGAUGUUAGCUUGGAAGCAGCUAUUCAUUCAAAGAGUGCGUAACAGCUCACUAGUCGAGCGACAGAGCGUGGAUAAUAAACGGGCAUCAAGCAUAUCACCGAAGUUCUGGGCGCGAGAGCGCGGUAGGGGAGCAUUCCAUUCAGCGUCGAAGCAGUUUCGUGAGGAAUUGUGGAGCGUAUGGAAAAGCAAAUGUAGGCAUGAGUAACGAUAAUGCGGGAGAGUAACCCGCACACCGCAAGACCAAGGUUUCCUGAUCAACGCUAAUCGGAUCAGGGUUAGUCGGGUCCUAAGGGUAAGCCGAACGGCGAUCUCGAUGGAUAAUCGGUUAAUAUUCCGAUACUAACAUAUACCUCGAUGGAGAGACGAAGGAACGUAAGUGCCGCCACCUGACGGAAUAGGUGGUUAAAGGGCGUAGGUAUAGGGGCAGAUUAAGAGUUAGUCCUUGCUGAAACCUGACAGUACAGAGAGCCUACGGGCAAUUUGAUAGAGCACCCAAGUCGACUUCCGAGAAAAUCUUCUAAGUUAUAGUAUAUGUUACCCGUACCGUAAACCGACACAGGUGGUCGAGGAGAGUAUCCUAAGGUGCUCGAGUGAAUCACGGUUAAGGAACUAGGCAAAUUAACCCCGUAACUUCGGGAAAAGGGGUCCCUAUGAAAGUAGGGCGCAGCGAAGAGGUCCAGGCGACUGUUUAUCAAAAACACAGGGCUCUGCAAAUUCGAAAGAAGACGUAUAGGGCCUGACACCUGCCCGGUGCUGGAAGGUUAAGAGGGGAUGUCAUCGCAAGAGAAGCAUUGAAUCGAAGCCCCAGUAAACGGCGGCCGUAACUAUAACGGUCCUAAGGUAGCGAAAUUCCUUGUCGGGUAAGUUCCGACCUG